CAAGUACUCCCUCCGUUCCGAAUUACUUGUCAUAGUUAUGGAUGUAUCUAGAUAUAUUUUAGUUCUACAUAUAUCCAUUUCCGCGACGAGUAAUUUAGAAUGGAGGGAGUAGUAU
rnacentral:pre_miRNA from 1 species